rnacentral:rRNA from 1 species
GACGAACGCUGGCGGCGUGCCUAACACAUGCAAGUCGAGCGGAGAAAUUAAAGCUUGCUUUAAUUUCUUAGCGGCGGACGGGUGAGUAACACGUGGGCAACCUGCCCUUGAGAGGGGGAUAACACAGAGAAAUUUGUGCUAAUACAGCAUAACAUUAGACUUCGCCUGGAGUUUAAAUCAAAGGAGUAAUCAGCUCAAGGAUGGGCCCGCGGCGCAUUAGCUAGUUGGUGAGGUAAUGGCUCACCAAGGCGACGAUGCGUAGCCGACCUGAGAGGGUGAUCGGCCACAUUGGAACUGAGACACGGUCCAGGCUCCUACGGGAGGCAGCAGUGGGGAAUAUUGCGCAAUGGGGGAAACCCUGACGCAGCAACGCCGCGUGAGCGAUGAAGGCCUUCGGGUUGUAAAGCUCUGUCUUUGGGGACGAUAAUGACGGUACCCAAGGAGGAAGCCACGGCUAACUACGUGCCAGCCGCCGCAGUAACAC